rnacentral:rRNA from 1 species
AUUGAACGCUGGCGGCAUGCCUUACACAUGCAAGUCGAACGGUAACGCGGGGGCAACCCUGGCGACGAGUGGCGAACGGGUGAGUAAUAUAUCGGAACGUGCCCAACAGUGGGGGAUAGCCCGGCGAAAGCCGGAUUAAUACCGCAUACGCUCGCAAGAGGAAAGUGGGGGACCGCAAGGCCUCACGCUGCUGGAGCGGCCGAUAUCUGAUUAGCUAGUUGGUGGGGUAACAGCCUACCAAGGCCACGAUCAGUAGCUGGUCUGAGAGGACGACCAGCCACACUGGGACUGAGACACGGCCCAGACUCCUACGGGAGGCAGCAGUGGGGAAUUUUGGACAAUGGGGGCAACCCUGAUCCAGCAAUGCCGCGUGUGUGAAGAAGGCCUUCGGGUUGUAAAGCACUUUUGUCCGGAAAGAAAUCCCUUGGGCUAAUACCCCGGGGGGAUGACGGUACCGGAAGAAUAAGCACCGGCUAACUACGUG